rnacentral:rRNA from 1 species
GAUGAACGCUAGCGGCAGGCCUAAUACAUGCAAGUCGAACGAUAUCAUCCAGCUUGCUGGAUAUGAAAGUGGCGCACGGGUGCGUAACGCGUAUGCAACCUACCUUAUUCAGGGGGAUAGCCCGAAGAAAUUCGGAUUAACACCGCAUAAAAUCACAGUUCAGCAUUGGACAAUGAUCAAAUAUUUAUAGGAAUAAGAUGGGCAUGCGUGUCAUUAGCUAGUUGGCGGGGUAACGGCCCACCAAGGCGACGAUGACUAGGGGAUCUGAGAGGAUGGCCCCCCACACUGGUACUGAGACACGGAACCUACUCCUACGGGAGGCAGCAGUAAGGAAUAUUGGUCAAUGGAGGGAACUAUGAACCAGCCAUGCCGCGUGCAGGAAGACGGCCCUCUGGGUUGUAAACUGCUUUUAUUCGGGAAUAACCUUUCUACGUGUAGGGAGCUGAAUGUACCGAAGGAAUAAGGAUCGGCUAACUCCGUGCCAGCCGCCGCGGUAA